rnacentral:rRNA from 1 species
GGCCAGCAUGGGUUGNAGNGUCAUAAUGUUCAAAGAAUGUGGCUUGGUGCUUCGGUAUCUGAGUGUUAUAGCUUUGUUCGAUAGCUCCNCUCCGAUCGAGGACUGCUAAUACAGGAUGCUGGCGUAAU